UUACCCGGUGGAAUUUUAGCAAUUAAUUAAGCGGAGGAAAAGAAACUACCCAGGAUUCCCCUAGUAACGGCGAGUGAACAGGGAAGAGCUCAAAGUGAAAAUCGGUCCAUACCGGAUUGAAUUGUAGCCUCGAGAAGCGUUACCAGUGACUGUACAGGGAUAAGUCUCCAGGAAAGGAGCAUCGGAGAGGGUGAGAGUCCCGUCUUUUGCUCUGGGUCAGUUGCGCACGGUGCGUUUUCAUAGAGUCGCGUUCCUUGGGAUUGGAGCGCAAAAUGGGUGGUAAAUUUCAUCUAAAGCUAAAUAUUGGUGAGAGACCGAUAGCGAACAAGUACUGUGAAGGAAAGAUGAAAAGGACUUUGAAAAGAGAGUUAAAAGUACCUGAAACCGCUAAAAGGGAAGCGAAUGAAACCAGUAGUGCACACGGUGAAGCUCUGGGGUGAUGCUUCCACUGUCGGCGAACCGCAAGGGCGUCGGUGGAUGGAACGUGUUAUCGUUGGGUGUCAUCCGUAUGCAAUGUCAGCAUCAGCUGGGAGUAGGGGAUAACUUCGGAACCCUGCACUCGGCUGAGGUUUGUUGCCGUAUUUAACCUUCGGGGACUUGCGGUAUACGAUGCUGACUAAAUGGUUUUAUCCGACCCGUCUUGAAACACGGACCAAGGAGUCUAACAUGUGUGCGAGUAUGCGGGUGGCAAACCUGUAUGCGUAAUGAAAGUGAUAGUUGGGAUAUUUGCACCAACGACCGACUUCGAUCUUCUGAGAGAGGUUUGAGUACGAGCAUAUCUGUUAGGACCCGAAAGAUGGUGAACUAUGCCUGAGUAGGGUGAAGUCAGGAGAAAUUCUGAUGGAAGCCCGUAGCGAUACUGACGUGCAAAUCGUUCGUCAAACUUGGGUAUAGGGGCGAAAGACUAAUCGAACCAUCUAGUAGCUGGUUCCCUCCGAAGUUUCCCUCAGGAUAGCUGGAGUUUUUACAGUUUUAUCAGGUAAAGCGAAUGAUUAGAGGAUUUGGGGAAGUAGCUUCCUCGACCUAUUCUCAAACUUUAAAUGGGUAAAAUGCAAUGGUUUCUUUAUUGAACCAUUGCGGGAAAUGUUAACUCCAAGUGGGCCAUUUUUGGUAANCAAAACUGGCAUUCGCCGGAUAGAAAUU
rnacentral:rRNA from 1 species